rnacentral:rRNA from 1 species
AAGCGUUCAUGACCAGACUUGUGCUGGGCAGCUCAUCCGGGGUUCUCCCCGGUGCACUCUGCCCAGUUCAGGCCAGCAUCGAUUUUUGCUGGGGGAUAAGAACAGUAGGAACGUGGCCCUCCUUCGGGCGGGUGUUAUAGCCUACUGUACGAUACCCUGGCGGAGAUCGAGGUUCGCGCAUCUGCAAGGAUGCUGGCGUAAUGGUCAUCAGCGA